UAUAGCCUGGUCCCAGAUCUGUUUGUAUUAUCACGGCAUGACAGUGAGUUGACAAGACAGCACAAACAGAUCUGGGACCAGGUUAGGGGAAUUAAGGUCUUCUUGUGAAUAUCNNNNNNNNNNGUGUGUGUGUGUGUGUGUGUGUGUGUGUGUGUGUGUGUGUGUGUGUGUGUGUGUGUGUGUGUGUGUGUGUGUGUGUGUGUGUGUGUGUGUGUGUGUGUGUGUUUGUUGUUGUUGUUGUGACGUUCAGGUGUGUUGGUGGGUAACAAGUCGGACCUGUCCUCGCGGAAGGAGGUGGAGACCUCGGUGGCCCAGGAGUGGGCCCAAAGCCAGGGGCUGCAGUACCACGAGACGUCCGCUAAGGAGAUGGAGAACUGUGAAGCUCCCUUUCUGAGUCUAGCCCAGCUGUUCCACGCUCUCUACCAAGACAGACUACAGACCAUACAGAAUCUGGCCUAACAUUCUAAUACCUGGCCUAACAUUCUAGAAUCUGGCCUAACAUUCUAGAACCUGGCCUAACAUUCUAGAGCCUGGCCUAACAUUCUAGAAUCUGGCCUGACAAUCUUGAACCUGAACAUUCUAGAACCGGGCCUAACAUUGUAGAACCUGCAGAAUAGAAUCUGGCCUAACACAUAUAAAUAUCUAUUAUAUUGUAUAUAUUCUGUUUCUAUGGCCUCUAGAAAGGAUAUAUGGAUUAUAUUUGUAUGGAUUCUAGGACCUGGCCCAAUGUUCUAGAACUUGGCCCAACAUUCCCUAAGUGAAAAAUACUGCCUCUGACAGUGAGACAUCCACCUUACAUUGGGGUGGAGAUUAAGAUGAAACNNNNNNNNNNAGAUGAGUUGAGCAGUGCAGUGUUUGACAGUGGUGGAAAAAGUACCAAAGUCAUACUUCUGUAAAAGUAUAGAUUCCUUAAUAGAAAGUUACUCAAGUAAAAGUGAAAGUCACCCAGUAAAAUACUACUUGAGUAAAAGUCUAAAAAUAUUUGGUUUUAAAUAUACUUAAGUAUCAUAAGUAAAUGUAAUUGGUAAACUAUACGUAUACGUUUCAAAAGUAGAAGUAAAAGUAUGAAUGAUUUAAACGCAAAGCAGNNNNNNNNNNNNNNNNNNNNNNNNNNNNNGUUUGUGAUUUCUGUACAGUAUUC
rnacentral:lncRNA from 13 species